rnacentral:rRNA from 1 species
UACGAAGGGGGCGAGCGUUGUUCGGAUUUACUGGGCGUAAAGGGCGCGCAGGCGGCCAUUCAAGUCAGGCGUGAAAGCCCCGGGCUUAACCUGGGAGGUGCGCUUGGGACUGGGUGGCUAGAGAUCGGGAGAGGAGAGUGGAAUUCCCAGUGUAGAGGUGAAAUUCGUAGAUAUUGGGAGGAACACCAGUGGCGAAGGCGACUUCCUGGCCUGUUCUUGACGCUGAGGCGCGAAAGCUAGGGGAGCAAACGGG